GAUGAAGAACGUAGCGAAAUGCGAUACUUAGUGUGAAUUGCAGAAUCCCGUGAACCAUCGAGUCUUUGAACGCAAGUUGCGCCCGAAGCCGUCAGGCCGAGGGCACGCCUGCCUGGGCGUCACACGCCGUUGCCCCCCCCGCGCCCCGCACCCAACUCUUUGGGAGCGACCGCGGGGCGGGCUGAUGAUGGCCUCCCGUGCGCUCCGCCGCGCGGUUGGCCCAAAUACCGAGUCCCCGGCGACGUGCGCCACGACGAUCGGUGGUUGAGAGACCUCUGUCGCAAGUCGUGCGCGCCCGUCGCGUCACGCGGGCUCGCAUAGCGCCUCGCGCCGCACCCGGUGCGGAGCUUUCAACGCGACACCAGGUCAGGCGGGGUUACCCGCUGAAUUUAAGCAUAUCAAUAAGCGGAGGA
rnacentral:misc_RNA from 1 species